AUGAUCUUACUUGAACAUGAUAUGUUCUAUAGGCUUGUACCUUUGUAUCCUUGUUUUCUAAAGAGAAAUGCCCUAAAAACCUGAUGAUGAAUAGUGGCUGUGCGAUAUGAAUAGGAUUAGUGGGUACACUUCUUUUAGGAGUCUCUGCGCUGUAGAGGAUUGCUACCUAGUCUGGGUUUAACCAAGGCUAGAGUGGUCGCAACCUUGUCUAACAAGUU